CAGUAUUAUCCCUUGCAUUUAUAUCCCAUUUUUUCCUCCAUGGGAUUCAAGGUGGACCACACGGUUCGCUCUCAUUUAAUCCUCACAACAGCCUUGCGAGGUGGGUUGGGCUGGUUACUGGCCCGAGCAAAGUCACCCAGCGUGUGAUUUCCGUGUGGCCGAGUUGGGAUUUUGGACACCAGUCUCCCUACUAUCAUGUUAUCCUAUCAUGUUAUCCUACAUGAUAACAGACCGUUACACCACACUGGCUCUCAGCAUCAGCAUCAUCCCAUAAGCUCUGCAAGUUGAAAGCUAGCACAUCAAGAAAUGAGCCAAAAUAGAACAUUAAGAUAAAGAGUCCCUCCAUCAUCAUGAUCUUGGCCAUAGCUGUCAACCUUCCCUUUUUUUGCAGGAAAUUCCCUUAUUCCAGUGUCGUUUCCCGCUGCUUCCCGCUGCUAUCCCGGAUUGUUAGAUAUCCCGUAGACUGUCCCCGGUACAGGUGAGACUGCUGAUCCCUUAUUUUCGAGGCUGCUAAUCCCUUAUUUUCAAAUCUGAAAGUUGACAGCUAUGAUCUUGGCCAGACUCUGCGUGUAACACUACUAGACCAAUGGUCCUUCUUGGUCGAGAGUUGUUGGGAGAGGGAGCUUUGCAGCAGCCAGAGGGAAAGGAGAGCUUAGCCCUUCCCCUGGCAACUGUUCACCCCAUAAAACUGCCCCUCCCUGCUCCGCAUCAGAAGUCUGAACAUGUGCUUCCAUCGCAAACACAGAUGGGACAGGCCACACAUGCAACAAAAUUCAGCUUCAAAAAUGUAUUGCUACUAGCAGCGAGGGUCAAGAGAGUCACUUCUUUAGCAAUUUUCCGCUAUGUCGAGAUAAUUCGUCACCUGGGAGUAAACAUGUCAGUUCAGCUUCCUAUGUGGCUGACUCAUACAGUGAGCACAGUGCACUCAGAAGAAAUCAGAAAAGUGUGUUAUGAGGUGUACGUUUGAAUCCACAUCAUGUCUAUGAAGCCAGCAAUACCCUACUGAGAGAAAUGAAGCCUUUUGCGUGAAGUCAGGACAUGUGUCUUUUUAAAAUGCAUAUAUAUCUUUCACCCAUAUACUCAGCUAAGAACUUGUCACACCAGGAAGUAUAAACAUAUUAGUUUAUUACACAGAAACAAAAGACAGUGGGUAUAUGGGUAUUGCUUUGGACAGCAAGUUUUACAGUUAUGCAGGCGGCCAAUAUGAUUCAUAGUCACACACCUUAGUCUUAAAAAGAGUUCCCAGCUAUCCAAAAACCUGGAGUGUGAGAAACAGAUUCACACUAAAGAGAAAUUAAAGAAAUUAAAAUAAGAGUUGGAAGUAUAACUGAUCUUAUGAGCAAGUGUAGUGCAAAGUCAAGAAUUUGAUAUCUGUGCCUUCUGACAGGCCACAUUCACACCAUACAUUUAAAGCAGUGAUAUAACUUUAAACAGUCAUGGCUUCCCACAAAUAAUUCUGGGAGCUGCAGUUUGUUAAGGGUCCUAAGAAUUGUUAGGAGACCCCUAUUUCCCACGCACAGCUAUGAUCCCCAGUGUAUCCUAUGGGAAAAUAAAUAAUGAAUAAUAAUUUUAUUAUUUAUACCCCACCCAUCUGGCUGGGUUUCCCCAGGCACUCUGGGCGGCUUAUAGAAGAAGAAGAGUUUGGAUUUGAUUUCCUGCUUUAUCACUACCCUAAGGAGUCUCAAAGAGACUCACAAUCUCUUUUCCCUCCCUUCCCCAAAACAAACACUCUUUGAGGCAAGCGAAGCUGAGAGACUUCAGAGAAGUGUGAUUGGCCCAAGGUCAACCAGCAGCUGCAUGUGGAGGAGCGGGGACGUGAACCCGGUUUACCAGAUUACGUCUACUGCUCUUAACCACUACACUGCAUAUAUUAGAUAUACAGUGGUACCUCGGGUCACAUACACUUCAGGUUACAUACGCUUCAGGUUACAGACUCCGCUAACCCAGAAAUAGUACCUCGGGUUAAAAACUUUGCUUCAGGAUGAGAACAGAAAUCAUGCAGCAGCGGCGCGGAAGCAGCGGGAGGUCCCAUUAGCUAAAGUGGUGCUUCAGGUUAAGAACAGCUUCAGGUUAAGAACGGACCUCCAGAACGAAUUAUGCACGUAACCAGAGGUACCACUGCAUAUCUAAAAAUAAUAAAAGCAUCAAGCAUUGAAAACCUCCCAAUACAGGGCUGCCUUCAGAUGUCUUCUAAAAGCUGUGUAAUUCUUUAUCUCCUUUACAUCUGAAGGGAGGGCAUUCUACAGGGAGGGUGCCAACGAAAAGGCCCUCUGCCUGGUUCCCUGUAACUUUGCCUCUUGCAGUGAGGGAACCAGCAGACGGCCCUUGGAGGAGGACCUCAGCGUCUCGGCUGAGCGAUGGGGGUGGAGAUGCUCCUUCAGGUAUACUGGUGCCGAGACCAUUUAGAAAAAGCCACGACUGUUUUAAGUCAUACUUUAAAUGUAUGGUGUGAAGUCACCUUGGGCUCUUCCUCAGAAUCCUAUGCCAGCAAGGAAACAAAUCUCUCACCUGUUCCUUUGGUCUGCAGUCAAGUAAAGGUAAGUAGCAAAGCAAGAGUGGUUGGAGCUGUUUGCUUGGGGUUUAAGUAUACUUCGAUCAAACCUAACUCCUAUGGGAAGGGAAGGGGCUUACCUAGUGAGUGAGUAACAGAACACCAAAACCUUUGAACUGUUGUUUGUACAUAUCUUCUGGUUUACUACUACCUUCCUGAGACACAAGUUUGAAAUGAAGAGGACACAACCUUUAUCUUUACAGUUCCUGGAUCAUAAAUUUAAUCUUAAAAGAGAUAAUUGUCUGUAUGAAAUCUGGUUCCUGCUUAUAGAAGGUUUAUAACUAGAUAUUUAUGGCAUAUACAGUGGUACCUCGCAAGACGAAUGCCUCGGAAGACGAAAAACUCGCAAGACGAAAGAGUUUUUCGUUUUUUGAGUUGCUUCGCAAGACGAAUUUCCCUAUGGGCUUGCUUCGCAAGACGAAAAACGAAAAAACGAAAACGACUUGCAAGUUUGUUUCCUUUUUCUUAAAACCGUUAAUACCCAGGGUGACUUCGAGGAGCAACUCAUAGCACACGGUGUGGUAGCCUUUUUUGAGGUUUUUGAAGACUUUGGUGAUUUUGAAGACUUUGGGAAACCGUGCUUCGCAAGACAAAAAAACUCGCAAGACGAAAAAACUCGCAGAACGAAUUAAUUUCGUCUUGCGAGGCACCACUGUACAAAGUUAGGUUCAUAUUGUUACAAAGUUUAAGGUAAGAAUUCACAUACCAGUAACUUGUUACUGUAAUAAGAGUCCAUGAGCAUGUUUUAUUUUUAUAAGAGGUUUGAAAAUUCAGAAAGAAAAUUGUCCUUUGUCCUUUGAACGUCUUACCAAAAAUGGAGUGAUCUAUUCAUGAUCACAAAACUGGCUUACAAUUUAGAAGUGUCUGGUCAAUAAAGGUGCUAAACAUGUUUCUGUGACGGAGAGUGACAACCAUAUAUUCCCAGUGCUCAGUCCUUCAGUUUUUCAAAUAUUUUCUUUUCUGCUAUGAACUUUUAUAAAUGGUUAUGAACAGGUGUGUUCUGCAAUAAGGUCAUUUCAGUGAACAUUAACAUGACUGUUAUUUACACAGCAGAAAGGGUGUUUCUUGUUUUAAUCAAAGCAGUGUGACAUAAUAAAAAGUGAAGUGAGACCAUUUAAACCUCCUUGGCUCAUCUGUAGAUUUUUCUUUUUUAAAUCCUGCAUGUCUGUCUAAGCAGGAACAAGCCCUAGAGGAAAAUGAUAAUCACCACACUAAGGGCAUGAACACAUGAC